AUUGAACGCUGGCGGCAGGCCUAACACAUGCAAGUCGAGCGGAUGAAGGGAGCUUGCUCCUGGAUUCAGCGGCGGACGGGUGAGUAAUGCCUAGGAAUCUGCCUGGUAGUGGGGGAUAACGUCCGGAAACGGGCGCUAAUACCGCAUACGUCCUGAGGGAGAAAGUGGGGGAUCUUCGGACCUCACGCUAUCAGAUGAGCCUAGGUCGGACUAGCUAGUUGGUGGGGUAAAGGCCUACCAAGGCGACGAUCCGUAACUGGUCUGAGAGGAUGAUCAGUCACACUGGAACUGAGACACGGUCCAGACUCCUACGGGAGGCAGCAGUGGGGAAUAUUGGACAAUGGGCGAAAGCCUGAUCCAGCCAUGCCGCGUGUGUGAAGAAGGUCUUCGGAUUGUAAAGCACUUUAAGUUGGGAGGAAGGGUAGUAAGUUAAUACCUUGCUGUUUUGACGUUACCAACAGAAUAAGCACCGGCUAACUUCGU
rnacentral:rRNA from 1 species